rnacentral:ncRNA from 1 species
AGACUAACGAGGAUGAUCGGUUCCAUUUCCGCACGGGAUGGAGAACAGGGAACGCGGUGCGCCUGAAAACACUUGGCAAUUCCGUGGCUGUCCCCGCAACUGUAGGCGGCGAAUCAGGCUGAAUACGUCACUGGAGCACUCCGGGAAGGCCAGCCAGACGAUGAAGACCCGCAAGCCAGGAGACCUGCUGAUCGCGACUGAAACCA